CGGCCUCAAUUUUGCCCUUUCCUCUCUCCGCGAAUCUCAAAUCUCGCUGGGACUCGAUUGCUCCACCAAAAAUAAAAUAAAUCCUAAUCUAAAGAGACACCACCGCUAUCACUUUGUUUCUAUCAAUCUCACUACCAUUCUCUCCGUCCCAUUCUCUCGGAACUCAUGUUUGCGGAAGGAACAAAAUUAGGUUUUUCUUGGAGAUUUUCGUUAAUGUUUAUGUGAAAUUUGUUGCUUUACACCGGAUGAAGACGAGCUAUUGGCUAUACCUUGUUUUUUGAGCUUGUGUUUCUGCUGAAAGCAACUCAAUCCAGCAAGAGGAGUUGUUCAAUUGAGACCCUAGAAAAAAUAAUUUUAGAUAAGUUGCCCUUAAUUUUUGGUAUUACGUAUUCAUUUUUUUUACAACAUGUUUAUUUUUAUGUUCAGAUCUUUUGGAACUCAUGUUAUGAUUGUUUUGUUUUUGUCAUUUAGGUUGAGAGAAGCUGGAUCUUAGCUUUUGAAGUGGUGGUUGGUUCUGUCCGUAGUGUUAGUGGUGGUAAGCUUUGUUGGUGGUCACUUUUGUUCAUCCGAUGAUUGUGAAGGGACUCAGGGAGCAAACUAGGCAGUUAAUGGAGAACAUUUAAGCUGUUGUAUAUAAAUUUGGAGUUCCAAUCUAAGUUUCUCUGAACUUUAUCCUAUUGAACACCUUAUGCAUCGUGAUUGGUAGCAUGGUUGCCUUGUAAAUCCACUUUCUUUCUGCCGAUGCAGCCACUUUCAGAUCCUGAUGAACAUGGUGCCGAUCCAGACUAAAAAGAUUAAGAAGAAGAAAGCUUCUGGUAUGAACAACAGGGAACUAAAGCUCCAGAGAACCAGCAAGGAGACCAAGACUGCAUCCUAUAAUUAUUCAGAGAAAUAGUUGCAUGGCCUGUAGACUUUAGAUGUCUUAACUUGUGAAUCUCCAGUUGAAACUUUGUUUUCUUUUAAGCUUACUGCGGAACUUUUGAAACAUACAAGUUGUUUAUUAUAUAUGAUUAAUAUAUAAAAAAUAUUUCGG